CCUACGGGCGGCAGCAGUGGGGGAUAUUGCACAAUGGGGGAAACCCUGAUGCAGCGACGCCGCGUGUGGGAAGACGGUCCUCUGGAUUGUAAACCACUGCCCCCAGGGACGAAGUUGACGGUACCUGGGGAGGAAGCUCCGGCUAACUACGUGCCAGCAGCCUCGGUAAUACGUAGGGAGCAAGCGUUGUCCGGAAUUACUGGGGGUAAAGGGCGCGUAGGCGGGAUGGCCAGCUGGGUGUGAAAUCUAGCGGCUCAACUGGUAGACGCAUUUAAAACUGCUAUUCUUGAGUGAAGGAGAGGCAGGCGGAAUUCCUAGUGUAGCGGUGAAAUGCGUAGAUAUUAGGAGGAACACCAGUGGCGAAGGCGGCCUGCUGGGCUUUUACUGACGCUGAGGCGCGAAAGUGUGGGGAGCAAACAGGAUUAGAUACCCGAGUAGUC
rnacentral:rRNA from 1 species